AAGCAAGUUUACAGUGACCAAUUGACCUAUCAACCAGAACCUUCAUGGGAUGCAGGAGGAAACAAGAGCACCAAAGAGAAAAAGAACCAUGCAGUCAUAGGGAAAAGAUUCAAGCUCCAUGGCAUUUGGUUGGAAAUUACCCAGAAGGAACAUGCUUCUCCAAACUGAGUCUGGCCUCUGUGUGGAGAUGGAGAUGGAAAUGGAAGUGGAAGUCAAAUUGAAAUGGAUGGCCACCAGGAGAUCCUGCCUCUUGCAGCCGAUGGUAUGAAAGUGCUCAAUGAAGUGGUCUCUCAAUCUACAUCGGGUCUCACUGAUGUAGAGGAGGCCACACUGGAAGGAACCGGCUACAAUAGAUGGCCUUAGCAGACUUGCAGGUGAAGAUGCUGGGUAACAACUGUGAAGCCCUUCCUUGACCCAUCACAAGGAUUUGCAGGAAGUAAACCACUGCUUUACCCCCCUCAGCAUUUCCACACAGCAAAGUAUUUGCAAGCCUCAUUUUUUCCCACAGUUCGUAAAUACCAUGCUUACGUUAAUGAGCCAGACCUUAAGUUACCCUAGCCAAAGGAUUAAGCUAUUCUUUAGACAGAUGCAUUUUUGCUUUGAUCUAAAAACCAAAACUGAAUCUUUAAAAAGCAGCAUAAAGUGAGUAAUAACUGUAUCGGUGACAGAAAAGACCACGUCUUUAAAUGGCAACUUAAUUCCCUUAUGAACAUUUUGUCAGGAGUAUUGUAGAAAUGUUCUCUUUCUGUAAACAUCACCAUAUAACUUCAAAAAUAGCUUGCUGUCAGAUAAUCAUUAUUUGUGUCAGUAAGAUUCUUUAUUGAACAUCUGUUUGUACUUUGCAAAAUUAUAUACAGGAUAGCAUUUCAGUCACUCAUUGCUCCCCACAAUGACCAAAUCAUCUCAUAUUUUAAAGUAAAUAGGGAUAGCCUACUCAGAUAGCAAUAAAACAUAAAACCACUGGGAAUGAAAAGCAUAAUAACUGUUUAUGGUUAUUAUUCAGUUGAAACUUUGCUUUGCAAAGGUCAAUAAUGUUGACUAGAUUCCCAAUCUGCAAAAAAAAAAGGUGAAAGGAAAUGCAGUACAAUCUCUGUAUGAUUGCUCUCUCACUAUUCCUCCACUGGGAAAAUCACAAAUCCUCAAAGGCCUGCCGUAAACCCCUCUCACUUAGUUCUUAAGAAACAUACCACUGCAGCAAUGCAGACUGUGUUCUUAAACUUUUCUUUUUGAAUAACAUAAUUAUAAACCAAAUGUUGUACUUACUUCAAAGGUAGUUUAUGUAAUUCACUCUGUGGAAUUAAGUAAGCCUUCAGCUUCCCCUUAAUACACAAAGUAUUGCGCACUUUAUUUAUAAAGUCCAGAAGAAGUAAAUGGACUGUCUUUUAAGUCCCAGUUCUAUACCAGGCUGGAGUUCUAUGGCAUUAUGUUGAAGUCUAAGUAUCAUCCAAUUGUCGGAGAAUUCAGUUUAAUUCAAAGUAUUGUAAGAAUUGAUGCCUUAAUGGUUAAUUAAAGUAUAGCUGACCAUAGAGAAAAAAAACUCAGAGGUAAUGGAGCGAGUCAAGAACGCGACUUCACUCCAUGAGCGCUACCGGAAGUCUCCCGGCAUUAUGUUGAAGUCAUGUGAUUCUUCAUUGGUCAGGGCAUGAAAGGAUAUGGGCUGAAGGCAGGAGAUUCGGGCUGAGAGGAAAAUUGGAUCAGCCAUGAUGAAAUGACGGAGCGGACUUGAUGGGCCAAAUGGCCUAAUUCUGCACCUAUAUCAUACAAUCUUACGUCAGAUUACAUCUCAGAAAUGGCAUCACUCUGAUGCCUGUCUCUGAAACCACAUCAUUUCAGUCAUUAGGUACCGCUGUAUUUGUUUGUCAAUGCCUAGGUUUUAUAAUAUUUUUAACAUGCCCCUGUUAUCUUCAGCCUCCAUUCCUCCCAACUUAAUCAUUCCCAAAUUAAAUCUCUCUGAAUUUGCUUCUGUGACUCAGAUUUUGGUGAUCUGCUGCAAUAUUUCCUUAAGUAGCUUGAGUUAGUUAAAAUCCUAUCAGAAUUCUUGGAAAAUCCUGCUGCGCCAGAAGUCUAAUAAAUACAGAUUGUCUUGUCUGCCACUCUAGUGGAAGAUGACGAUCAGUCGGGGAGGACAGGGGGAAAGCAGAAUGAGACACCAUGAGUCAGACUCACGCAGCACAGAAAUUGACUCUUCAAGCCCACAGUGUGCACCAAACACAGUUUACACUAAUCCCACUUCAGUCUCCCAUUGACUCAUCCCCACCCCCAGUUUCUAAAACCAGACACGAGAGACAAUUUACUAAUUAUUAUCCCACGUGUCUUUCAGAUGUGUGUGUGUGGGGCGGGGGGGGGGGGGAACACUGGAGCAUUUGGAGGAAUCCUGCACGAUCACAGGGAGAAUGUGAAAACCCCACGCUGGCAACAUCGGAGAUCGGGACGGAGGCAGCAGCUCCACCGGCUGCACCAAUGUGCUGCCUGAUGGGUGUUCUCUUAAAGAAGAAUCCAUCUCAAAAUCAUUUGCAAACUUCGAAGGUCCCAACUAUCCCAAUGAAAACAUUGCUAUAUCAAAGAAAUAAAGGUUGCUGUACAUGUUUCUAUAUAAAGACAAGCAACUGAAAUCUCUGCCCGUGACUAAAAAGUACGCAACUAUGCAAAGACCAUAACAUAUAGGAGCAGAAUUAGGCCAUUUGGUCCAAUCGAGUCUGCUCCGCCAUUUCAUCGUGGCUGAUCUAUUUUCCCUCUCGGUUCCAAUCUCCUGCUUUCUCCCCAUAUCCCUUCAUACCCUGACCAGUCAAGAAUCUAUCAACCUCUGCUUUAAAUAUACCCAAUGACGUGGCCUCUACAGCCACCGGCGGCAACAAGUUCCAAAGAUUCACCACUCUCAAGCUAAAGAAAUUACUCCUCAUCUCCAUUCUAAAAGGAUACCCCUCUAUUUUGAGAUUUUGAGGUCUUUGACUCCUCCACCAUAGGAAACAUCCUCUCCACAUCCACUCUAUCAAGGCCUUUCAACAUUCGAUAGGUUUCAAUGAGGUCCCCCCUCAUUCUUUUGAAUUCCAGUGAGUACAGUCCCAGAACCACCUCAUGCUCCUCAUAUGACAAGCCUUUUAAUCCUGUGAAAUUUCAUAUCAGCACAUCCUUUCUUACAUCAGGGGCCCUAAACUGCUCACAAUACUGCAAGUGAGAUUUCACCAGUGCCUUAUAAAACCUCAACAUUACAUCCUUCCUUUUAUAUGCUAGUCCUCUUGAAAUAAAUGAUAACAUUGCAUUUGCCUUCCUCACUGACUCAAACGGCAAAUUAAUUUUUAGUUAAUCCUGCACAAGGACUCCCAAGUCCCUUUGCAUCUCAGAUUAUUGAUAUCAUACCACAUUGAAAAAAGCAACUCUUGUUUACUUCACAUCUUUAGUGUCAUGCAUGCAAUGUUUUUCAAUGCCUGUCAGACAAAGCAAACAGAAUCAAGUCAAAAGUGACUCAAGGGCAGUCUACCAAAAUCUACAAUGAACAUUUUACAGAGAAUGGCACUGUAGUACAGAGGAGGAAUUUCAGAGAUUAUGAUCCAAUAGGUGCCAGUGAUGUGGAUUGGACAACUGGAGAGGUGGCAAAAUAUUAGGCUUGGGGAAAUGCAGAAAAAUUGGAAGAUUGUAAUCUGGAAUUUACUUAGUUGGGUUGAGGUCAAGAGGCAAUUUCGGUACAAGUAUAAUUUAAAAUUAAUUGCAUUAACAGUAGUAUUGGAUUUGGAAUACAGAUAGCAUCCAUUCCACACAUACAUCAGUGAUUUAAGUAUUUCGGCUAGUCUGUCAUCUGAUAGUUGUCACCUUUCCUGGGAGCAGAGAAUUUCAUCUGGUUUGACAAUACAGCUGAUUAUUAGUCUAAUAGGACUAUUUAUAGGAUUUAUAAAAAUGCAGUUGCAAUAAAUGACA